rnacentral:lncRNA from 1 species
UUUGGAUUGUAUUCUCGUUUGCUGUUUCUUCUAACACGGAAAGAGCCAUUUGAGUUUGUCCUCGUGUUACUGAUUUGGCUUUCUCUAAGGAGUAGCAAGUUGGUGAAACCUAGAGAAUCGGCUUCUGAAAGCUUCAUUUCUAAAGCAUCAAGAAUAUUAUUCUCAUUGGAAAAUUGCUGCUGAUACCCAUCAAGUGCCUGCUUUCUUCUCCAACCAGAGCAUAAAGAGUCCAUGUUUUUACCCUCUGAGCGUGCCUGUCAUGAGAUGUUCUUCACAAAUCCUUAGAGACCAUAUUCUUCAGCUCCUGACCCAAUCUUGGUAAAUAUAUUCUAAAGUGCUUUAUUGAUGUCUAUUAUUCUUUAUACUUUUACUUAGUUGG